CGAGGGGUAACAGGGUUUUCGGACUGCUGACGACCGGCGCACGGGUGAGUAACGCGUAUACAAUCUGCCUAUUACUAAGAGAUAGCCCAGAGAAAUUUGGAUUAAUAUUUUAUGGUAUUAUCGAUUGGCAUCGAUUGAUAAUUAAAGGUUACGGUAAUAGAUGAGUAUGCGUCCUAUUAGCUAGAUGGUAAGGUAACGGCUUACCAUGGCGACGAUAGGUAGGGGUCCUGAGAGGGAGAUCCCCCACACUGGUACUGAGACACGGACCAGACUCCUACGGGAGGCAGCAGUGAGGAAUAUUGGACAAUGGGAGCAAUCCUGAUCCAGCCAUGCCGCGUGCAGGAAGACUGCCCUAUGGGUUGUAAACUGCUUUUAUACAGGAAGAAAAAGGUGUACGUGUACACUGUUGACGGUACUGUAAGAAUAAGGAUCGGCUAACUCCGUGCCAGCAGCCGCGGUAAUACGGAGGAUCCAAGCGUUAUCCGGAAUCAUUGGGUUUAAAGGGUCCGUAGGCGGGACAAUAAGUCAGUGGUGAAAGUCUGCAGCUCAACUGUAGAAUUGCCAUUGAUACUGUUGUUCUUGAGUGCUUGUGAAGUGGUUAGAAUGAGUAGUGUAGCGGUGAAAUGCAUAGAUAUUACUCAGAAUACCGAUUGCGAAGGCAGAUCACUAACAAUUCACUGACGCUGAUGGACGAAAGCGUAGGUAGCGAACAGGAUUA
rnacentral:rRNA from 1 species